ensembl:lncRNA
CAGUUCUGCCCAGAGGAUCACACAGAACCAACAUUUCAAUGGUGUCUUGUCCUGAAGUGGUGAAUUUUUAUAAAAAAUUUUUUUGCUGUUUUUCAAAAAAAUAAUUAAGGCUGAAACGUACAUUUUGAAGUAAGGGAGGUUUAUAAAUUCUAGUGCGAGCACAAAGCGGUUAAAAUGACCAGCGAGUGAGAUCUGUGGUGUCUCGAACUUCCUUCGUAAAGAAGUUUCACGUGUCACUGUUGAAGGAUUACCGCGAGAUCUCGAGACGGUUAAUACAGAACAAAACCCAAACUUCCUUUCCUUUUAUUCCUUCCCCUCCUUUCAUCUCCUCCAGUCACUGACAGGAAUAAUAAAGCCAGUGUUCUAUUGCUGAACCUUUGAUCAUUUCUACAUCGAGGGUAAAUCAGGAGCUAGUGAAGCGACUGGACGUAGAAGGAGGUGAUGAAAAUAAAGAGCGAUAGAACAUGACCGAAAAGAACAGGAGUAAAUAAUGAACAUCAUUUGAUUCGCUGUUUAUUGUUUAUUUAUGUUAUUCACUCGCGCUUUAAUCCGCGUCUGCGUUCAUUUACAUAAUCGACUCGUUAAUGACGUAUUGUUAGAAAAAUCCUUCAGAAACGUCAGGAAUAAAAACUUCACCUAGACGUGAUGCGUGCACGCCUGCGAUCAUAAGACCAGCCUGACGUGACAGAUGCUUUCUCAUUCUUUGGGGGUAAAAUCUUAAUCCUACAUGUAGAUUAGAUUCAUGAUUAGAUCUUAAUUUCUAUGGAAGUUAUCUUGGAUGAAAAAUUUGGCAGAAGUAAAAAAAAUCUGUAAUAAUCUGGGCUUUUUACCUUCUCGCCCUGAAUUCUCAAACACCGACGUCACGGCUGAAAGAGCGAAUCCGAGCAAAACAUCCUAACUGAGAAAUAAGGCCUGAAAAGGGAACAGAUUUCCGCGAGUCCUCAUUUUUGUUGGUGUUUCACAUUUUGCUGAAUGAUUAUCUUCUAAACAAACUCAACGGAACGUGGAUCGGCAUUGAAUAAUGUGUCCUAGCUUCAUUACCUCAGAAUAACAGUUUAUGGCACAAAGUGACGGUUAAAGCACAGCAAGCUCGCUCUCUCUCACACACACACACACACACGCGCGCACACACACCGUACGCAUACAUACACACACACAGACACACACACACAGACACACACACACAAAGAGCACAAAGAGAUGUUGGGUUUGAUCUGAAAUCCCGUACUAAUGUGAAGUGAAACUGCUCACCUCCGAAUCUCCCCCCUACAUCCCUACAUCCGCUACCGGGAGGGUGUGUGUUCUCUGCCCUCUUCCUCAUACAGGAUCUCAUACAUGCCCGUGAUUGGCCGGUGUUGCUGUGAUUGACAGGACAGAAAGCAUGCCCCUCCCACACAGACAGCACGGCCAGUUUUGCUACCUGUCUCCCGCAGACUGUCGAUGUGACUGUCAGGAUGUGAACUCACGCCACUGGAGAGAUGAUAAUAUUCAGUACCGAAAACACCUUGCACCAGGGGUCUGAAACAUACAGACUGUGAUAACACACCUGAUCCGACCCCGCUCAGUGCAACUCAAAUUACAUUCAAAUCGUCGUGUGAAGAAAAGAAAUUCUUGGUUUGUCCACUAGGGGGUGAGUGACUCCGCCUCUGAUCAAAUGUGUUAAUGAUGUGAUCCUAAAAAGUUUAUGAUCUUUUAGGGGGUCCACAGGAACGGGGGAUGAAUACUUAUCGGUCAUUAACCUGUUUUUUUUUUUGCUCCGGCCCACUUAUAGCCUAAAGUGGCCCGUUACCUAAAAUGAGUUUCACGCCCCCGCUUUACAAAUUUAAUUAAAUAUACCUCUUGUGACCUUCGGUUACGUCAAUCUGGGGAAAAGACUCUGAAUAAGGCACUAUGAACAGAUUAUAUAUAUAACAGACUGGAUUUCUGGAAUAAUAAACAUGGUCCAUACGGGAAGGAAACGUUUCACACACACAUGCACACACACACACACACACACACACACACACACAGUCUACAGAUAAUAAAUCAGCCGCCUCCUGAGGGUCUCGUUUUCUCUGAAACUGUGAGCGUGGAGAUUUUUCAUGGAACAAUGUGAACUAAUCCUCGUGGUCAUGAUGAGACUGGCAUCGGGAUGUACACUGGAUUCGUGGAUUUAGCACAAACUCAGCGUCAAUUAAAAGAAUUUAGCACAAAUUUGAUCAACUUGCCACACGUUCACCAGCGAGGGGGUGGAGUUAGGAGCAUUUUACAGUCAGAUAUGUGGUACAGAUUGCUCAGAGUCUAGAGGAAUAUUCACACAGAUUUAGCAGCUAUUGGAAUUUACUACGAACUUUAACAGACUCGAUCAACUUUCCAUAAUAUUGAGCACCGCGUCGAGAAAUUAGCACCAAUCUACCAGCAACUGAAAGAAUUUAGCACAAAAAAUUACUUUAAAUAAAUAAUUAAUUAAUUAAAUAAAUAAAGCCUGGAUUGGGUCAUGACUCAGCUACACACAAAUACAAAUAAACAAACCCACCAUUUCUGCCUUUUCCUGAUAGAAUACACCGUAUAAACAAACCCCGAUGCCUAGUGUGCUGUCCACAUCGCCACACAUUAAAGACAGCAUCGUGUGCUGCUUGUAUUUAUUUAUCUUUUAUAUAUAUAUAUAUGUUUGUUUCAACAUACCAAUAUUUCUUAUUUUAAUUCAUGUAAGUUGUUUUUUAUUUUUCUGUACAAAUGUUGUUUAGGGGUUUUUUUCUCCCUUUAUUUAUGUUGAUUGUCAUUGUUUUGGAUUCGCCCCACAGGAAUUUGUACAUUAGCAUGCUAACUAGCGCCGUCGCAAUCAUGUUGUCGUCAUAUUAGCUUGAUUAGCUAACAUUAGCUAAUCGGUUUUGCCACCUAUACAAGCUAACUGUUCUUUGGUGCUUGUCUGUUGCUAGCUAGCUACUCGGCUAGUCAUUUUUACAAACAUAGGAAAAAACUGCAUAAAAAAACUAAUUAUAAAACAAAAUCCAAGAAGAGAAUUCACUGUUCUACAACAAGCCAUUUGUGAAGGUUUAAAUGUUUAAGGCGCUAACACUGCGGUUAGCGAAUCCGUUGUCUUAGCUUUACGGAGUAAUUUUUUUUCUUUCACUUUCUUUCCUCCAAAACAAAGAUUUAUAAAUGUGGAAGAAAUAUGAAACAUGGCUUAUUUUAGCUAGCUAGCUAAUUUCUUACAACCUUACUGAUUAGCAUAGUUAGCUAGCAAUAGUAGCUAACCAUUUAUUUUCCAUUGGUGCUUGUUUGUAGCUAGCUAGCAACAAAACAGGAGUUUUUAUUUUUUUCAUCCAGAAGACAUACAAAUGUUUACCAAAGCGGUAUGGGAAUAAAGUUAACAGCUAGUGAAAUGCAGUGCUUCAGUGAACGCUUAUAAGGUUGGCUCUCUGGUUAAACCGCUGUCUAUCUAGGCAGGAAGGGACUCACUAGGUAUUGAGACAAAGCCUCUUUUUGUUGUUUUGUAUUUAAUUUUUUUAUGAAUCUUGCAAUGAAAAGACGAAGUUGCUUUCGAUCUGUUUUUGUCCUGUUUUCUCUCUCAUUUGUGAAUUUAGUGCCAAUGUUCUCACAAGCACAAGUGCAUCUCCAUGUUGGAGAUCCGGGUUCCAUGCCUGAUUUUAAAGAGAAACAUGACUGUGUUGAGAAGGAGAAAAAAGAAGAAGAAAAAAGAAAUAUAAAUAUGAAAAAAUAUAUAUUGUGAAAACAUAUUUAUAGGCCAUUGGUGCUACAGUCGAG